rnacentral:lncRNA from 1 species
UUGAGAGAUGCGAUUCUAGAGAUAAAUAAAGAGAGGAACAGGUGUUGCCCUGUCGUUGCCGGUGGCUUCGGCCGUCUAUGGCGGCGGCGGGCGUACUAUGUGCGACGCCUCUGUUGCUUUUUACCUCUGGCUUUGAUUCUUUUCAUUUGCGUCGAUGUUGGAACGAAGAAUGGAUGUAGUGGACUAUUAGGACCAAAUCUGGAACAACCAGAUACCUAAGUUGAGUUCAUUGAUUUCUUUUCAUUUCUGAAUGAUAUAAGGAUUUCCUGUGCCCGUUGUAACCAUGGCUAUACAACGGAUUCGCAUGGAUAAACGCAGCAACGACUGAGGCGAUUGAAGGUUUUAGUUGUAUAGGGGAUCGUCAAUAGUGAAUGGUUGUUUUGGCUUACUAAAGGCAUCUGAAUUGGGUCAAACAAUAGCAGCAAAUAGGGGUCGUUAUCAUGGGGUAAGCCUACGGUAGCGCGCUGUGAAACAAAAAUGGUUUUUGGGGGGUGGCGAACGACACAACGGUUCCAUUUCCAGUUAUAAUCUUCAUGCUUGCACUAUAACUUGAAUGAUGCUUUCAUGCUCACAGCCACAUUAGUCCAAAAGGGUGUGAAACACCGCCCAACGGGCAUGAGUGGGGCUUGAUGGUCAGCCGUUUAGGGCAGUGGCGAAGCUUGAGAUUUCCGGUCGGGGGUCGCAAACGUAUAUACCAAAAAUUUCUAUAAAACCGAGGGGUCAAAAACGUGUAUACCAAAAAAUUUCUAUACGAAAAUUACAUACUCUCCACUAACGAGCGAAAAGUUCGGGGGGUCGACCGCCCCCUCCCGCCACCACAAAGCUCCGCACUUGGUUUAGGGCGGGUCACAAGCAUAGGAAUGGAGUAGUUAAAAGUGUCAUUUGGUAUUGCAACUGUUCAGUUAUCAUUUGCUGAAUUUUUGUAGAUAACUUGAAUGAAUGUUUUUAACUGUACCAUAUGUUUUGUAAUAUGAGGAUUAUGCAAAGAUGCUGAAUGGUUGCC